UGCGAGUCAUUGUAGUAAUACAAGGCAGACGGCUCAGUAACGCGUAGUCAACCUAACCUAUGGACGGGAAUAACCUCGGGAAACUGAGUAUAAUGCCCGAUAGAACAUUAUGCCUGGAAUGGUUUAUGUUCCAAAUGAUUUAUCGCCGUAGGAUGGGACUGCGGCCUAUCAGUUUGUUGGUGAGGUAAUGGCCCACCAAGACUAUUACAGGUACGGGCUCUGAGAGGAGUAGCCCGGAGAUGGGUACUGAGACACGGACCCAGGCCCUAUGGGGCGCAGCAGGCGAGAAAACUUUGCAAUGUGCGAAAGCACGACAAGGUUAAUCCGAGUGGUUUCUGCUAAAGGAACCUUUUGUCGGUCCUAGAAACACCGAUGAAUAAGGGGUGGGCAAGUUCUGGUGUCAGCCGCCGCGGUAAAACCAGCACCUCAAGUGGUCAGGAUGAUUAUUGGGCCUAAAGCAUCCGUAGCCGGCUCUGUAAGUUUUCGGUUAAAUCUGUACGCUCAACGUACAGGCUGCCGGGAAUACUGUAGAGCUAGGGAGUGGGAGAGGUAGACGGUACUCGGUAGGAAGGGGUAAAAUCCUUUGAUCUAUUGAUGACCACCUGUGGCGAAGGCGGUCUACCAGAACACGUCCGACGGUGAGGGAUGAAAGCUGGGGGAGCAAACCGGAUUAGAUACCCGGGUAGUCCCAGCUGUAAACUAUGCAAACUCAGUGAUGCAUUGGCUUGUGGCUAAUGCAGUGCUGCAGGGAAGCCGUUAAGUUUGCCGCCUGGGAAGUACGUACGCAAGUAUGAAACUUAAAGGAAUUGGCGGGGCAGCAC
rnacentral:rRNA from 1 species